AGUUAGCCGAUGCUUAUUCUUCAGGUACACGUCAAUUAUUCCUCCCUGAAAAAAGAGGUUUACAACCCAUAGGCCGUCUUCCCUCACGCGGUAUUGCUCCGUCAGGCUUUCGCCCAUUGCGGAAAAUUCCCCACUGCUGCCUCCCGUAGGAGUCCCCCCGUGCC
rnacentral:rRNA from 1 species